GUUCAUACGUUGACGGUAGUUUAACCAGAAAGUCACGGCUAACUACGUGCCAGCAGCCGCGGUAAUACGUAGGUGGCAAGCGUUAUCCGGAUUUAUUGGGCGUAAAGAGAGUGCAGGCGGUUUUCUUAAGUCUGAUGUGAAAGCCUUCGGCUUAACCGGAGAAGUGCAUCGGAAACUGGAUAACUUGAGUGCAGAAGAGGGUAGUGGAACUCCAUGUGUAGCGGUGGAAUGCGUAGAUAUAUGGAAGAACACCAGUGGCGAAGGCGGCUACCUGGUCUGCAACUGACGCUGAGACUCGAAAGCAUGGGUAGCGAACAGGAUUAGAUACCCUGGUAG
rnacentral:rRNA from 1 species